rnacentral:rRNA from 1 species
GACGAACGCUGGCGGCGUGCUUAACACAUGCAAGUCGAACGGAAAGGCCCUGCUUUUGUGGGGUGCUCGAGUGGCGAACGGGUGAGUAACACGUGAGUAACCUGCCCUUGACUUUGGGAUAACUUCAGGAAACUGGGGCUAAUACCGGAUAGGAGCUCCUGCUGCAUGGUGGGGGUUGGAAAGUUUCGGCGGUUGGGGAUGGACUCGCGGCUUAUCAGCUUGUUGGUGGGGUAGUGGCUUACCAAGGCUUUGACGGGUAGCCGGCCUGAGAGGGUGACCGGCCACAUUGGGACUGAGAUACGGCCCAGACUCCUACGGGAGGCAGCAGUGGGGAAUAUUGCACAAUGGGCGGAAGCCUGAUGCAGCAACGCCGCGUGCGGGAUGACGGCCUUCGGGUUGUAAACCGCUUUCGCCUGUGACGAAGCGUGAGUGACGGUAAUGGGUAAAGAAGCACCGGCUAACUACGUGCCAGCAGCCGCGGUGAUACGUAGGGUGCGAGCGUUGUCCGGAUUUAUUGGGCGUAAAGGGCUCGUAGGUGGUUGAUCGCGUCGGAAGUGUAAUCUUGGGGCUUAACCCUGAGCGUGCUUUCGAUACGGGUUGACUUGAGGAAGGUAGGGGAGAAUGGAAUUCCUGGUGGAGCGGUGGAAUGCGCAGAUAUCAGGAGGAACACCAGUGGCGAAGGCGGUUCUCUGGGCCUUUCCUGACGCUGAGGGGCGAAAGCGUGGGGAGCGAACAGGCUUAGAUACCCUGGUAGUCCACGCUGUAAACGGUGGGUACUAGGUGUGGGGUCCAUUCCACGGGUUCCGUGCCGUAGCUAACGCUUUAAGUACCCCGCCUGGGGAGUACGGCCGCAAGGCUAAAACUCAAAGGAAUUGACGGGGCCCCGCACAAGCGGCGGAGCAUGCGGAUUAAUUCGAUGCAACGCGUAGAACCUUACCUGGGUUUGACAUGGAUCGGGAGUGCUCAGAGAUGGGUGUGCCUCUUUUGGGGUCGGUUCACAGGUGGUGCAUGGCUGUCGUCAGCUCGUGUCGUGAGAUGUUGGGUUAAGUCCCGCAACGAGCGCAACCCUUGUUCACUGUUGCCAGCACGUUAUGGUGGGGACUCAGUGGAGACCGCCGGGGUCAACUCGGAGGAAGGUGGGGAUGACGUCAAGUCAUCAUGCCCCUUAUGUCCAGGGCUUCACGCAUGCUACAAUGGCUGGUACAGAGAGUGGCGAGCCUGUGAGGGUGAGCGAAUCUCGGAAAGCCGGUCUCAGUUCGGAUUGGGGUCUGCAACUCGACCUCAUGAAGUCGGAGUCGCUAGUAAUCGCAGAUCAGCAACGCUGCGGUGAAUACAAUCCCGGGGCU